GUGAAGAUAUUGAAUUCUGUGUGAUGAAUUGAAAAACUAAAUAUAAUAAGUAAGCUAGAGAUCAGUAAUUGAAUAUAUAUAAACCGCAAAGAGAGUAAGUGGGAGAUGAACUAAUAAGAAUAUGAAAGUAUUGUUAAAUUGAUAUUCUUAGAAUAGAUUAUGUGUUGAAUUGAGACGGAAGUAGUAAGCUUUGGUGUUUUGUAGUUUGAUAAUUGAUUUCAGAUAGCUAGUGUAUAAUCAAUUGUAAUACUAAUAGACCCAAUUUAUAUAACCAAUCUUUCUCUGUGUUCGAACCCACCUCUAUUAGUUCUAUUGCUUUGAUAUAUUGAAGCUUGAACACAACGAGAAUAACAUUUUGGAACCGCUGUUGGAGAAAUGAUAACAAUAUGAAAUGUUAGAAAUUGAUUGUAUGGGAGAUGGAAUUAUAUGUUGAAUGAGAAUUUGAGAAGAACUAGUUUUAGGAUUACAAAUAUAAGUGUUAUAAUUCAAGGCAAUAUUGAUUUUGUAAAGAAAAAUGAAAGAUUAUGAAUGAUAAUCAUGAAGAAAAAGAUGAUCUAAGAAUUAAUCGAUAAGCGAAGAAAGACAAGACCAAUUAUGCAUAAGAAAUCUCCUACGGAAAUGACAAAAAGGAAUUGUAGGUCGAAGUAAAACCAAAGAAAGAAAAAUUUAAAUUCAAAUAGCAAGGAGAUCAGU
rnacentral:lncRNA from 1 species